CUCUCUCAAAACUCAAAAAUCCAAAGCAUGCUCAUGUUCGCUUAAGUUUUAUAUUGAAUUGUUCUUUGAUCGAUCCAUCUGUUUGUUUGAUAGCAUUCAUAUGAUAUGGAUUCCUCUAUUUGUUUGAAAGUGUUUUGGUUUCUUAGGAUUAUUGCUGUUGUGAUCAAGUAGAGGCAAAGCUGGCAUAUGCUAAUUAUGUCUUUGAAUCCCAAAUUGGUUAGUAAAGACAUUGCUAGACUUGACAAUCAUCAUUUUAUAAUACUUGCUAUAGGCCUAUAUUACUCUUGUUUUUUUUGUUAAGUUGAUGAGUUUUUUCUUGAUUCCUAAAUAUUUCAACUGGUCAGUAUUUGAUAAUGUGUUUUGGAAAUCAAAUAACAAAGUAUAAGAUUUCCAUGUAUUUAUGCUAAUUGUGUCAUAACUUGUGCUUCUUUUUUACAUUGCUAGGUGAAAUCUAUUUUCCCCCUCAUCCCACCAAAAGAACUUGGAGCAAACACAAAAUUUAUGUAUUUAUGCUAACUGUGUCAUAACUUGUGCUUCUUUUUUACAUUUCUAGGUGAAAUCUAUUUUCCCCCUCAUCCCACCAAAAGAACUUGGAGCAAACACAAAAUUUAUGUAUUUAUGCUAACUGUGUCAUAACUUGUGCUUCUUUUUUACAUUUCUAGGUGAAAUCUAUUUUCCCCCUCAUCCCACCAAAAGAACUUGGAGCAAACACAAAAUUUUUAGUCACUAUACAUUUUCAAUUUCAUAUUAUUGUUUUUCUUGUUUCACCUUAAAUAGAUAGAAUUUUUUUGAUGAAUUUUUUGCAAGUCUCUAUAUAUUUGAUUUCUAAUCUAUGAGACCAUGCCUCUAAUGAGCUCUAGCUCGAUUGGAACCUUCUUCCCUUGCAAGUGCUAGGUGGAGGGUGAGGUUUUGAGUUCAAGACCACUGGGUGAGUGUAAUUUACCAAUAAUAAUACGCCCCCACCUAGGUUGUCCCAGUGGUAAGAGAGAGUGCCUAGACUAAUUGUAAGCCCAAAAGUCUUUGAUUCAACUCCUAGCUGAGGCAUUUCGCAAUUUAUCCAAUGCCUAUUCAGUGGGGGUAUGUAGGCAUUCAGGUUUUGCUCCUCAGGGGUAGUGCCAUUGUCCCAUAGCUUGAGGGAAUUCCUCAUAAAAAAAUAAUAAUAAUAAAAAUAAAUCGCUAAGACCAUGCUGCAAGAAUUUGUUGUGAAAGAAGCUUUUGGUAUUGGGUUGGCUGUAUAUGACAUGUAGUUUACGAGUGCAAAUAUCAGCUUGGCUCAAAGGGAGAUUGGGUAUAAGCCCAUGGCAGAUCUGCAGACGGAUUUAAGGAGGUUUUGCAUGUAGUACUUUGGUUUCUGUUCUGGUGGGAAGAAGGCUGCUAGGUGACAUAUUCAUUCGAUGUUGCGAGACGAAGUUCAGUUUUCUAAGGCAAUUAUCUAUGUUUCAAGUCGGUGAGAUUAGCUGCAGGUUUGAGAAGAAGGGCUUCUCUUUGAAAGGUACCAUACUUCUCCAGUGUGGCACUAACUUAUUUGCUGGGGGCCGCUUGGACUUCUUCAAUCUCUCUAUUGAUGCUGCAUACUCCUUGUAAUUAAACUUUUUUUUUUCUCUUGCCCUAUGAAGAUAUUUUCCAAUACAGUUCCCCUCCUUUGUUUUGGUCAAUGAUUUUCUAUUGGUCUUGAAUUAGUUCCAAUGGUUUAAGCUUUGAUUGCAAAUUUUACUUUGUUGUGAUAUUCUAAAUGUUUUUCAUUUGACCAAAGCAUUUAGUUCAUUAAUAUCAUCCAAGAAACCAAUGGAGAGAGAAAUUACCAAAACCAAUUUACAGAGUAUUAUUUCCAUGGUUGUUGAAACUUAUGUAUCAGGUACCAUACUUCUCCAGUGCGGCACUAACUUAUUUGUUGGGGGCCGCUUGGACUUCUUCAAUCUCUCUAUUGAUGCUGCAUACUCCUUAUACUAAAGAUUCUCUUCCAUCUUGCCAAGACAACCAUGGAGCAGGUAAAAGGUGAAAGGUACUUAAGAAUGAAUUGUACUUGCAGUAUGCUAACGAGUUCUCUUAUGAGAAGUUAAUGGCAUUGGAUACUAAGGUAGUGGCAGUUCAGGCAAUUGAAGUUGAAGGGCUAGAUGAUCUUAGACUUCAUAUUGUUUGGAUUCAGUGGAGCGCCAUUGUUUAAUGAUAGGAAUGGAUAAUUGAUGCAUAGAAAAUGUCAUCUCAUGUGUUGAACAAAACAUGGCGGUCAAGCAAUGCAAUUUAUACUUUGUAAAUUGAUAGAAUGGUUUUUUGAUUGAACAUUGAUUGAGUUUUUAUGAUGUA